rnacentral:rRNA from 1 species
CGGUAGCUUNCCAGAAAGGGACGGCUAACUACGUGCCAGCAGCCGCGGUAAUACGUAGGUCCCGAGCGUUNUCCGGAUUUAUUGGGCGUAAAGGGAGCGCAGGCGGUCAGGAAAGUCUGGAGUAAAAGGCUAUGGCUCAACCAUAGUGUGCUCUGGAAACUNUCUGACUUGAGUGCAGAAGGGGAGAGUGGAAUUCCAUGUGUAGCGGUGAAAUGCGUAGAUAUAUGGAGGANCACCAGUGGCGAAAGCGGCUCUCUGGUCUGUCACUGACGCUGAGGCUCGAAAGCGUGGGUAGCGAACAGGAUUAGAUACCCUGGUAGUCCACGCCGUAAACGAUGAGUGCUAGGUGUUAGGCCCUUUCCGGGGCUUAGUGCCGGAGCUAACGCAAUAAGCACUCCGCCUGGGGGGUACGACCGCAAGGUUGAAACUCAAAGGAAUUGACGGGGGCCCGCACAAGCGGUGGAGCAUGUGGUUUAAUUCGAAGCAACGCGAAGAACCUUACCAGGUCUUGACAUCCCGAUGCUAUUCUUAGAGAUAGGAAGUUACUUCGGUACAUCGGAGACAGGUGGUGCAUGGUUGUCGUCAGCUCGUGUCGUGAGAUGUUGGGUUAAGUCCCGCAACGAGCGCAACCCUUAUUGUUAGUUGCCAUCAUUAAGUUGGGCACUCUAGCGAGACUGCCGGUAAUAAACCGGAGGAAGGUGGGGAUGACGUCAAAUCAUCAUGCCCCUUAUGACCUGGGCUACACACGUGCUACAAUGGUCGGUACAACGAGUUGCGAGCCGGUGACGGCAAGCUAAUCUCUGAAAGCCGAUCUCAGUUCGGAUUGGAGGCUGCAACUCGCCUCCAUGGAGUCGGAAUCGCUAGUAAUCGCGGAUCAGCACGCCGCGGUGAAUACGUUCCCGGGCCUUGUACACACCGCCCGUCACACCACGAGAGUUUGUAACACCCGAAGUCGGUGAGGUAACCUUUUAGGGNCCA